AAGGUUAUAUAGUGGGAGCUGCUAACUCCCCAUUAAUGAUUUCAUUUAGCCUUU
rnacentral:tRNA from 1 species